GACCUGCGGGAAAGUUGCUCCUGAGCGGUUGGAGGGGCGUCAUCGCCUCCUAGCAACGCUCCUAGCAACCGGGUAACAUCUGCUCCCUCUGGUCCAAUGCGAGCAGAGAACAGCUGCGCGCCCGCCUCGCGUUCGGAACCAGAGCGAGAGGCGCUUCAGAGAGCGGAGGGACGGACCUGCGGGAGCCAGGGCUGCCGGCCGAGCUGCAGUUGCCGCCGCCGCCGUCGCUGUCAGCGCCGUCUGAAGAGUGACAGCCGCAAAAGCAGGGAGCCCCGAACCCCGCGCCUUUCCCAGACAAGUGCAUGCGCCCGUCUCACGGUGAGUGGACCCAGCUCGCAAGGUAACCAUUCAUUCAUGAGCCAGAGGCUGUGAGAAAUGCUUGCUGUGCAAAGGGGAACUCUCACCAGAUUUUCUGAAGCUGUCCUAGAAAUACACUUUUCAGAUUGAUUCAGCAUCACCAGCCUAUCCAACCAAAGUAUUAACAUACACAUUAACAACGUCGAAAGUAGCCUACUUUAAGAGGAAAUAUGCAGAAGAAGAAGAUUUACAUCAAGAUUACCAUGGGUAUUUUCCAAAACACUUGAUACUGCCCGAAGACAGGACCUGCAUACUCAAACUGUCUCUGGAGAAGCUCAGGUUUCUUGAAGACCCAGAAACCUACCUGAGAAGGUCUGUGUUAAUUAACAAUUUGCUGAGGAAGAUCCACCUGGAGACGGAGAAAGAGAGCUAUGAAUACUUUAAAGAAGCUCCCUGCUAUAAGACUGCUUAUUCUGAUGCAAGAAAACGGCUGAAGUUUAUGGUACAGGAAUGCUGUUCUCAGUCUCUCUAUUACGAAGAGCUGCAUUCGUAUCAUAUUGUGCCUUAUGCUUCGGAAAAUGCCAUUUAUGGGAUGGGCUACACUAGCAGCCACUUGGAGCAGAAUUCUCAGUUGCUUAUUUAUAAAAUGAAUUAAAGUAACUGUUAAGUCCAUUGAUACUUUGUUUUCUAAAUGCCUGAACUGUUUAUAGUGAAGAUGUGAACGUAAGGCACUUGAGAUCCAAGAUGAGAUGCAUGCUAAACUGAUCGGAGAGAAUUCUGGUUAUUACUCAGCAGUCCUUAGUAUCAUCAAGUCAAACUGGAAAUAUGUCCACCCAUUAUUAAGUGGCAAGUAAGUGCUUUAGAAGCACCCCCUCCCCCAAUUUGUUUUAAGAUAAAGUAUAGGAAGAGACGAGACCGACUUCUUACACAGAUUUAAACAUUUUAAGCCCGUAUUUCCAAAUGCUGCCACUCACGGUGAAAAGUAACAGAUGAAACUGGUAAAAUCUUGUCCCUGAGGACUAAAGGUGGAACAAAUUUACAGUAAUUUUUCUGUAAACGAUGAGGAGAGAGGUAGGUUCUUGCUGAAAAGCUUUGCGGUGUUAAGCAUUGUGCCAAAUAAUCAUUUGACAUCAUUCUCCUUUUUAGCAUUCGUGGCAAUUCAAGAUGGGGCAGCCUUAUGGCAAUUUAACUGCUGAAUGUAACAACCAGACUACUCCAACCUGAUCCAUUUUGCUUUUCGUUUUUCUGGUCUCUUUUAAGGUGAAACUUCAUAAGAUAGCCUUGUGGAUGGGCUUAUCUCUAAGUUCUAGGGGCAGUUAAAAUUUGUGGCGGGUCUUUAGUUAAGAGUUUAAAUUUUAUUUAUGAUGUCAUUUUUUUUAAUAGGCUGUGAAGCUCAGGAAAAGAGUAGGCAGGGAAAAUUUGUUUUAAUAGGUUGAUAAUUUUUAAAAAAAUCUUAUCUGCAAAAGUUGGGGAGAACAACAGAAAUUCUACAUGAUGUUAUUUCUUUACUUAAGAGUGCAUUUAAGGCUGCCUGGAUGAAACUUUGCACUGAUUUUUGUACAAUAGUUGACCAAUCACUAUUUGACAAAAUGUUUCAGAAUGCCUUUGGGGUCGAGUUUAGAUCCUUCCCUAUAUUUUGCAACUUGAAAGCUAAUUAUUUAACAAGUUGGAUAGAUUCCUGAAAUCCUUAGAAGCAGUUCAUCAUUUUCUUUGAGGUUCGAGUGAGCUGUCUGAUUUAAAUGUCUUGAGUUAUGUCCUAUGGAGCAUACCAUUUCAAUAAUUGUCACUAACUGAUAAAGCAGAUUGGGAAAACUAGAUGCCAAAGGUAUAUUCAAGAAAAUACCAAAGACCCAAAGAUGAGUGUUGGCUCGAGUAUGGUAAUCAAGGUAAGAAUCUUACAUAAGGAUUGUACAGGACAUAGGAGAACAGCGUGGAAGGGUUUUGGGAAGAUUUGCCCACUAAUGUGCUUUCUGAGCGCUUUGUACAUCAUGAUGAUAAUCAAGGACACUGCUUUAAAUGAAGACAUGACAGGCCUUCGGUGAUCAUAUGUUUUGGCAAAUUUAAGUAUGGUGAUCUGUCAGCCUUGUAUCUUGCUUUGUUGAAAGCCAUCUUAUACCCAAGAAGGCCUUUUUCUCUUCAGGAGAAUUUUGUUUUUAGUUUUGAUUCACAACUCGCUCCCUCUAAUGAAUCAUAGAGGUGAUUAACAUGGAUGCUUUUGGUAUAAAGAAUAUCAGUACUCUAAUCAGCAUGCAUUGUUAGAACAACAUAGCUAUAUAAUUGGUAAAAGUGUCUGGUUUAUAUUUAAUUGCUCAAUCAAAACUAGGAAAAAAUGCUUAGGAACAAACUGAAAAAUUAUCAUUGAUGUUAAUUUCUAAAGGCAUUUUGGUAUAAAUGGUGAGAUAGCUUUGAAAUACAAAUAUACAUAUUUAAAAAUUAAUUUAAGGGCAAAAACUUGGCCACAAAGUUUAGAAACUUCAUUUUACUGCUUAUAAAAUACCUUAUUUUCCAGAAUGUGUCUUUUAAACUGUAGAUUUCUUAAACAGUGGGGGCAUUAUUUGAAUAGAUGCAAAACUUGUUAGGAUAAUAUUACUAUCAUAUAAUUAAAAAUAGAAUUAGCUCUCCAAUAGUUUAAAUUUUUUACUGGAAAGAAUAUUUGGCUCCAUUUAGGACAGUGUCUACAAGAAAACACACUAGUGCUAAUAGACGUGACUUACAAAAAUGUCACAUAGUACAAUUGUUUGAGGAGAGAAAUGCUCAUACUUUGCAAUAUUGAAGAGAGAGAGAAAAUUACCAAGACAGUGUGAAAUUGUAAUAUAUACUGUGUGUCGGAAAUCUUAAACAAAGCAAGAACUCUUAGUCACUGAACCAGUAAGAGAUGUGAAGUCUGUUUAUUUGGUGAUAUCGUUAACCCAGCUCUCUGAUCUAUACAUUCAUAUGUAGAGAAGGAACUUACAAACCAGCAGUAUUUCUGAAUAUGCUUUUAAAAAAUAUGUGCUGAUUUCAAAACAAGUUAUUUUAAAAAUAUCUUUUAGAGCAUCAAAUUUCUCUCCCAAUAAACAAUUCCUAGUUGAGUUGACUAAUAUUAUCUUGACUUUAAAAAAAUAAUAUUUAUAUUUCAACUAUGUAACUUUCUGAGCUAACCAAUAAGAUGGCUGAUUUAUCCGGCCAAACUGAAUCAUAGGGAGACCCUGCAUAGACCUGCUCCAGAUGUGAGAGGCCAAAUGGGCGACAAGAUACACCUUUUUUGAUCCUGGACAUCCUUUCUCUGGUGACCAGAGCCACUCUUAGAGUAAGACAGAGAGGGUGGGAAAUCUGAGUGCCUUUGGUAAUUUGGAUCACUCUUGUGGGUGCCCAAACAGCCAAAAGACCUAGUAAAAAAGAAGAAAUUUUUAAAAAGAGGAGAGGAAAAAUGAAGAGAUGAGGAAGGGGGAAAGAAGGGCAGAGAAAUAAGGAACAGGAUUAGUAAGUGAAAGAGAAAGUUGUUUCAUGUGGGGAGGGGUUGCUUGCUUAUUAUACUCAAUUUUGCUUUCCUGCCUGUUAUACAUCUAAACCCUGAGAUCCACAUUAUAUUAUCUUUUCUUUCAUUUGCUGAUGAUGCACAAGAUUAGAUUCUAUUCAGUAUAUGCAUUAUUUGAAAUGUGGUAUUUCUGUGAAACAUACCUGACACUGAGCUCCUGCGCAGAUGAGAAAAGGAAAAAUAGAAAUUAAGUUGAGGAAAAGACUAAAUGGCGAGCCUAUGUAUACAUGGGUAAGCUCGAAUGCAGGAUCAGAUUCCAAUGUAUAUUCCUAGAUUUAAUAAAUUCUCGUGCUGGAGGACUUGGAAUUAAGUGCAAUUCCCCACUAUUAAUUGAGCAACUACUCUGAGCCAGGCACUGUGCCAGGGUUGAGGAUUUACUA